rnacentral:rRNA from 1 species
AUCUGUCUUAGAUUAAUAAAUUGAAUUUAACUUUUAAGUGAAAAGGCUUAAAUAAUCUGAAGGGACGAUAAGACCCUAUAAAACUUUAUAUUGAAAAGUAGUGAAGUAUGAUUUGUUUAAAGGUUAUUACUUUAAAGUAUUUGGUUGGGGCGACAAGAAUAGAAUGGAAAGUAACUGUUUUUUUUUUUUUACAAUGAUAUUUGGGUGGAUGAUCCUAAAAUGGAUUAAAGAUUAAGUUACUUUAGGGAUAACAGCGUAAUUUUCUUUGAGAGUUCUUAUCGAUAAGAACGUUUGCGACCUCGAUGUUGAAUUAAAGGUUCUUUAUGGAGUAGAGACUAUAGAAGAGGGUCUGUUCAACCUUUAAAACUUUAC